rnacentral:rRNA from 1 species
UAACCCCUACGGGACGCAGCAGUGGGGAAUAUUGCACAAUGGGCGCAAGCCUGAUGCAGCCAUGCCGCGUGUAUGAAGAAGGCCUUCGGGUUGUAAAGUACUUUCAGCGGGGAGGAAGGGAGUAAAGUUAAUACCUUUGCUCAUUGACGUUACCCGCAGAAGAAGCACCGGCUAACUCCGUGCCAGCAGCCGCGGUAAUACGGAGGGUGCAAGCGUUAAUCGGAAUUACUGGGCGUAAAGCGCACGCAGGCGGUUUGUUAAGUCAGAUGUGAAAUCCCCGGGCCCAACCUGGGAACUGAAUCUGG